UACGUAGGGGGCAAGCGUUGUCCGGAUUUAUUGGGCGUAAAGAGCGUGUAGGCGGCCAGGUAGGUCCGUUGUGAAAACUCGAGGCUCAACCUCGAGACGCCGAUGGAAACCAUCUGGCUAGAGUCCGGAAGAGGAGAGUGGAAUUCCCGGUGUAGCGGUGAAAUGCGCAGAUAUCAGGAGGAACACCGGUGGCGAAGGCGGGUCUCUGGGCCGUAACUGACGCUGAGGAGCGAAAGCGUGGGGAGCGAACAGG
rnacentral:rRNA from 1 species